rnacentral:rRNA from 1 species
UACCAGCACCCCGAGUGGUCGGGACGAUUAUUGGGCCUAAAGCAUCCGUAGCCGGUUCUACAAGUCUUCCGUUAAAUCCACCUGCUUAACAGUUGGGCUGCAGAGGAUACUAUAGAGCUAGGAGGCGGGAGAGGCAAGCGGUACUUAGUGGGUAGGGGUAAAAUCCGUUGAUCCACUGAAGACCACCAGUGGCGAAGGCGGCUUGCCAGAACGCGCUCGACGGUGAGGGAUGAAAGCUGGGGGAGCAAACCGGAUUAGAAACCCCCGUAGUCC